rnacentral:lncRNA from 1 species
UUUGAUUCCCGUAACAGAGCAGCAGUGAGCAUUGAAACACAGAUUUCUGUAUGUGACCAACCUGCUUGAAGGGCAAUAGACCCCCUUUUGGCGCUUUUUGACCUUCGUUUUUCCAUCUAAAUGCUUUGCCCUGAAUCUGGAUUUCUUUGAAAGUUUGUGGUCGCUGCCGUUGAAAAAUGUUCAGUCUCUCUUGGGCAGUGAUAAAAACUGGUAAAUUCAGCAGCUUCAU